AGUUUAAGUGAAAGAUGGUUCAUCAUAUAUAAGUAGACCAUACUUUAUUUAACAUAGUAAGUGGGAAACAAAACAAUUCAUAGAUGCAUGUUUCUAGUUUUCAUGGAGAUUCCAUGUUUCCAUGUCCUCUUUUCCUACCUUUGUCUCCGUUAUCGGGGUUUCCUCGAUUGUCGUCUUCUUCAACGGGUGGCUCACUAUUGCCGUAUCCCAUGCCACCGCCACCAUAGUUGUAUGCCAUGCCCUGUACCCAUUCUGAUGCCCAACCCAAUGCCAAAUCUCUCAAAGUUCUCCAAUCUACAAACCUUCUUAUUAAAGUACUAUAUUCGGUUUCCUCAGCUGUCACAAUAGUCAUAAGAAGGGGAACACACAGAAAGAAUACUAAGAUAAAAAAUUUUGUUUUCAUCCUUGCUUAAAUUUCCUAAAGUUUGUUGUAAAAUAUGAAUAAUAUCCUCAAAUAUUUAUAGUGGUCACGCAUAGAAAAAAUAAGAUAAUUUUAAAAGACAAAAACAUAUUGAAGAAAAAUAUAUUGCGUACUAAAAAAAAAGACAAUAUGUAUUCCAUGGCCAAUUGUGAAGACAAUGGGUCAUCAAAAUCCAUAGAGACAUGGAAAGGUUAAAUAAAUUAGAACAUGUUUGCCUUUUGGAUCAUGAUAAUUUGAGGAUUAAAGAGACGUUUUAUCCGAUUAAUCUUUUCUAAAAAGUUGCUUUUGGUUAAAUUGUUUCGGAAAAUAGAAUUUAAAACUAGCGAGUUGUAAAAUUUGGCUUCCUAAUAAAUUUAGGAUUAAAGAGAUGUAAUAUUCAAUUAAUUCUAGACGAAUGAUUUAUUUUGACUAUUAGAUGUAUUAAUAUUGGAUUAUUAAAUUUUUAGUUUCUAAAAAGUUUUGAAAUUUUAUUUUUAGUACUUAUUAAAAAAAUUAUAUUUUUUAGUUUCUACAAAAUUAUUAUGUAAACAGUUUAAUUUAUACCAUAUUGGAACAUCAAUAUAAAUAUUUAAAUACUUUUUUUUUGCAUACAUGCUAACAUUAUAAAAAGUUCUACAUAAAUAUCAAAAUUCAAUUUCUAAAUCUAUAUUUUAAAGACUUUUAUCUUAAAUAUAAGAUGUUUAAUUAAUUCAUCCCAAAUAAAAAAAAUUAAAAUUAAUGUGAAUUAAUUUUUAAGAAUAUUCUAAACAGGCUUACAAAAUAUUAUUCAAAAAUUUAAAAGUUGAAGAAUAUUUCAUUUCAUCAAAGACUAAAAUAAUUUGAUUAAUAAUUUUAUAGGAAUUAAAAAAAUGUAUGCAUACAUAAAAAAUAAAAAUAAAUUAUCAUCUUUUUAUCUUAGUAAGGGGUCUAGGAACACAACUAAAACAAAUCAGACGAGAACUUCUCGUUGAAUUAAUUAGAAAUAACUUAUAUUUGGUGUUGGUUAGCAUCCUUCUAAUCAGCUGUUGGGGGCAUUCCUUGUGCCUUCAUUUUAUUGAAUGGAUUUUUCUAAAAUGGAUUUUUCUUUGUUCAAAGAAGAACAAACCAUUGUUGAGUGUUUGCCGUCAUAACCAAUUAUUAAAAUAGAGUAAUAUUAAUGGAAAUGCACAAUUGCUCCUACGAUCCCUUAACUUAAUUUUAAAUAAUACUUUCAUUUUUUUUAUUUGGUCUUUUAUUUAAUAUUAUUACAAAAAUUCGAAAAUAUAAAGAAUGAAAAUAUGAGUUUAUUGGAAUAUUUAAGUUAUUUCAUCGACGUUGUUUCAAUAAAUUAUGAUCUCAUCAACAUAUAUCAAAAUAGAUUUAAUGAAUAAAGAAUGAUAUGAAUUAGAUUGAGUAUAUCCUUUUGAAAUGAGAGUAGAGGAAAGUCUAGCAAACCAUUGCUUACUAGACUGUUUUAAACCAUAAAGAGGUUUUUGAAGUUUACAAACAAUAUUUGGAUUAUGAGCCAAUAACCCAUGGGACAAUUGCAUAUAGACUUCCUCUUCUAAAUUGUCAUGUAAAAAAGCAUUGUGAGCAUCUAACUUAUGAAAAUGCCAAUUAUGAGAUGAUACAAGAGCAAGUAAGAGUCUUACGAUAAUGAGCUUAGCUAAAGUGAAUAAGUAUCAAAAUACUCAAUUCCUUCAAUUUGGUUAAAACAUUUGGCAACAAGGCGUUCCUUAUAACGUAUUAUAGAACCAUCAACGUUAUAUUUUACCUUAUAAACUCAUCGACAACCUAAGGGCUUUUUAACACGUGGCAACUCAGUAAGAGUCCAAGUGUUGACUGAUCGAGUAGCUGAGAUUGCAUGGUCUGAACCUAAUUAUUGUAUGUGACAACUUGUUGAAAGCUAGUAGGGUCACGAACAGUAGAAAUAAAGGAAAAAUAAAUGAUAGAAAAAAUAUGACAAUUUUGACUAAGAUAAGACCUGAUAUAAAUGAUACAAUAUAUAGGACUUAUGGCGCCUAUCAUGUGCAAAAUUACACUCAAAAUCUUGUAAGUAAGCAGGGACCUUGUUAGACCUUGAAGACCUACAAAUAGUAUCUUGAUGCUCAUCAAAAUCAAAGAUAAGGGAAGUAUGUAAAUUGUUGGGACUAGUAUCAAGACUAGAUGAAGGAGUUGGAGCAAACAUAAUACUAUCAUCAGUGGAGUUAUUAACAUAAACAAUUAUUAGGCAAAAGCAUAUUAGUAUCAUCAAACAAAAUAAAGGAAUCAUGAGAAUCAUCAUUAAUAUGCAAGGAAGUAGAAUUAAGAUUAACAUAUGCAAAAACAUGUUCAUAAAAAACUACAUUCCUAGAAACAAAGGUGACAUGAGUAUGUAAAUCAAGCAUCAAAUAACCUUUAGUUCCUUAUCUAAAUCCAAGGAAAAUACACUUGGUAUCCCUUGGAUCAAGUUUAGUUCUAUGAUGAAGCAAAGUGGAAGCAUAAGCAAGACAUCGAAAAACCAUUAAAUACAUAAAGUUAGGAGAUUGUUUAUAUAACAUUUCGAAAGGGGUCUUAUUACGUAAAACAGGAGGUAGUUAACAUGAUAAUAAGAAAAGCAACAUGAUUAAUAGUAGAAGACAAAAAAUUCUUUGGUAGUUUAGAGUGGAAAAUAAGUGAUCUAGUCCCCUAAUCCAUAAUCCAUAGAGAAAAAGGAUUAGAUACGAAACUUGUAUUAGAAAUACUUGAUACCAUGUGAUUGGAUUGAUCUGGAAUAGAAUUCUUGGUUUCGAAAGAAGUUACAACAUGAUAUUUAGAAUUAUGUAGCAGAUUAAUCAAAAUAUUAUAAUAUGUUUUGCUAAGAUAAUUGUUGGAAUCGUGUUGCUAUCUAGGUUAGGAGAGAGAAGGAUUCUUGCAACCAUUUGUUGAAGACGAAUUCGAAGAUUGUUUUUUACCAUAACUUAGUGGCAAGCCAUGAUUGAAAUAACAUGUGUCUACAAUGUGAUUAUUCUUAUGGCAUUGAGUAUUAAACAUGGAGGGCCGAGGUUGACCAUGAUGAUGCGAGAAUUUCCCGUGACCUUGACCUGAAUUUUUGGAAGUAUUGAUAUUAAAAAAAAAAACAUAAGUAUCAGGAGGAUUAUGGUUCGAAUUGGGGACAAGGUCUUAUUGAACAAAGAAAGAAUACACCUUGUUAAUAGAAGGUAAAUGAUCCAUGAAUAAAAUCUGUGUGUGAACGUUAUUGUAAUUUUUAUCCAAAACUUUUAGAAAACAAGUGAUAUACUAGCUUGCAAGAACGAGGAAUAGGGCAUAUGCAUGAUUGUGUUGGGCACAAAUCCUCCAAUUCACCCCAAAGAAUCUUCAAAUAGGUGAAAUAGGUAGACAAAGAACGUUCACCUUGUUUGAUUGAAUGAAGAUCACGAAGGAGAUAGGAAAAUCAAAAAUUAUUUCCUUUAAUGAAACGAUCAUGAAGAUCAUACCAUAACUCUGAUGGUGAAUCAAUGCAAACGGAGAACGUUAAAAACCCAAUAUUGAUUUUGGUUGUAAAAACAGAAAACGAAGAACAUCAUUGGUUCUCGAAACAGAAAAUGAAGAAUAUUCUAGGUUAAUUAAAAUCAAUAGUGUAUAUAUUUAACUUGAUAAACAAAAGGACUGAAAGUAAAUAGAGAUAACAGGAUAGAUAUCACACAAUGAUAUAUCUUAGUUCACCUAACUCGGGCUAUGUUCAGUCCUUACAAUUGUGAAAUUUUCCACUAAGCUUUCUAAUGGAGAACGUUCUUGGUUUUACACAGUUUUGUUCAGAUCAACCUUAAUAUGUAACAACAAUUCAUUUCCACUUAGAAAUGAUUCAAUUUGGUCACUUAUCAAUCUUUAGAGAGGAUUUUACAAUUCACCUUUUAACCAUAAAAAUGAUUUUCUACAAACUAUAAACAAUCCUUAUAGUCUUGAGUUUACACAAUGAUGAUUUAAAGAGAUUGGUAGAAUCUGAGUAUGUUCAAAUCGUGUUUGAGAAUAUAUUCUUGAUAAAAGAAUUCAUUAUAACAGUUCUCAUAUUUGAAGAAGAAAACAUAACUGAAUCUUUUGUUUAUGAUUGAGAAACUUUCAAGUAUAUAAUUGUAUGUAAGUGAUGGAUUUGUUAACACUUGAAGUUCUAUUUUUCCUUGAACUUGAAGUUCCUUUUAUAGGCUUCAAGGAGGUUGAUGACAACUACUUUGACCGUUUGAAAAUAUCCAAGUUGUCAUGUGUCAGAUUUGACCAAAUACCAUAAUUUUUAAAUCAUGAAAGUUUCUUAACUAGCUUCUCAUUAGACCAAAGGUUUCUCUCUCAUGAACCGAUGACAGGGUUGAGGAACACAAGAUUUUACAGCUAUGAAGACCUCAUUCUCAUCCCUUUAACAUAAAACAAUUAUAACAAACGAAGAAAAAACAACAACUUCCAAUUUUACAUGUUGGAUCAUCUCCCACAUUCCAACCCCUUGCCACACCGCCACACUUCAAGGGUCAUCCAAAAAAAAUUUCAAUUUAUUUCUGCCUCAUUAAAACACCAAGCACAAUACUUCUAACCAAAAAAAGGAAAAACUCCUAAAAGUGAUGUUUAUUUACGAAAAAAAUGAUUAUUUUUUAAAAAAACUUGUAAUAAAUAGGUACACUUUAUUUUCUUUUAAUUAGAAAUUUAAAAAUCAAACCAUUAACCUGACGAGCUGAAUAAACUAAUACAAUCCAAACGAAUUAAAUUAAUUUAUUUUGUAUUGGAGUCCAAAAUAUAUUAAAUAAAUCCUACUUCUAUUGGUUCAUAAAUCCUACUUUUAUAAAAUUGUCAUAGAUAAAUUAUUAGGGGCGCAACAAGACAAUCAAUGUCACCAAAUGAAUGUGUAAUUUUAAUUUUCAAUGAAAGAUUAAUUGUUGUUUUUUAAGUUUAUUUUUUAAUUAAUAUAAUGUACCUUAUUCUUAAGUUACAAUGAGAAAAUAAUGUUACAAUAAGAAAAUAAUAUCUAAUGGUAUUGGGUGAUGAGUACUAAAUGACAUAAAGUAAUUUUCUUGCCUAAAACAAACAUGACAAUUUUAGUGAUAAAAAUUAAUGUAAACACUAGAUGGUUCAUCAUAUAACAGUAGACCAUACUUUAUUUAACAUAGUAAGUGGGAAACAAAACAAUACAUAGAUGCAUGUUGCUAGUUUUCAUGGAGAUUCCAUGUUUCCAUAUCCUCAUCUCCUACGUUUAUUACCAUUUUCUCCUUCACCUUCGUCUUCAAUGGGUCCCUCACUAUUGUCGUCUUCUUCAACGGGUGGCUCACUAUUGUCGUCUUCUUCAACGGGUGGCUCACUAUUGCCGUAUCCCAUGCCACCAUAGUUGUAUGCCAUGCUCUGUGCCAAUCCUGAUGCCCAACCCAAUGCCAUAUCUCUCAAACUUCUCCAAUCUAUAUACCUUCUUAUUAAAGUACUAUAUUCGGUUUGCUCAGCUGCCACAAUACUCAUAAGAAGGGGAGCACACAGAAAGAACACUAAGAUAAAAAAUUUUGUUUUCAUCCUUGCUUAUAUUUCCUAAAAUUUGUUGUAAAUUAUGAAUAAUAUCCUCAGAUAUUUAUAGUGAUCACGCAUGGGAAAACUAAGAUAAUUUUAAAAGACAAAAACAUAUUAGAGAAAAAUAUAUUGCAUACUAAAAAAAAGACAAUAUGUAUUCCAUGGCCAAUUGGGAAGACAAUGGGUCAUCAAAAUCCAUUGAGCCACGGAAAGGUUAAAUAAGUUAGUAUAUGUUUGUCUUUUGGAUCAUGAUAAUUUGAGGAUUAAUUAAAGAGAUGUUGUAUCCAAUUAUUCUUUUUUUAAAAGUUGCUUUUGGUUAAUUUGUUUCAAAAAAAUAGAAUUUAAAACUACCGAGUUGUAAAGCGAUG
rnacentral:lncRNA from 1 species